GAUAAACGCUAGCGGCAGGCUUAACACAUGCAAGUCGAGGGGCAGCAUAGAUUGUAGCAAUACAAUUGGUGGCGACCGGCGCACGGGUGCGUAACGCGUAUGCAACGUACCCGUCACAGGGGGAUAAUCCGGAGAAAUCUGGUCUAAUACCCCAUAACAUAUGGAUCGGCAUCGGUUCAUGGUGAACUUUUCGGAGGUGACGGAUGGGCAUGCGUAGCAUUAGCUUGUUGGUGAGGUAACGGCUCACCAAGGCGACGAUGCUUAGGGGGACUGAGAGGUUUUCCCCCCACACUGGUACUGAGACACGGACCAGACUCCUACGGGAGGCAGCAGUGAGGAAUAUUGGUCAAUGGGCGCAAGCCUGAACCAGCCAUGCCGCGUGCAGGAUGACGGCUCUAUGAGUUGUAAACUGCUUUUGUACGAGGGUAAAGUGGGUUACGUGUAACCUUUUGAAAGUAUCGUACGAAUAAGGAUCGGCUAACUCCUUGCCAGCCGCCGCAGUAA
rnacentral:rRNA from 1 species